rnacentral:rRNA from 1 species
GACGAACCGUCCGAACGUUAUUCGGAAUCACUGGGCUUAAAGGGUGCGUAGGCGGCGCGGAAAGUUGGGUGUGAAAUCCCUCGGCUUAACCGAGGAACGGCGCCCAAAACUACCGUGCUCGAGGGAGAUAGAGGUGAGCGGAACUUAGGGUGGAGCGGUGAAAUGCGUUGAUAUCCUAAGGAACACCGGUGGCGAAAGCGGCUCACUGGAUCUGUUCUGACGCUGAGGCGCGAAAGCUAGGGGAGCAAACGGG